CUAGAAAAAUGGAGUAUAUAGCAGCCGAUUACAACAGAAGAAGGUGGCAUGGGACCAAAGAUAAGGUGGUCAGGAUAAAUCAGACCGAUGUGAGUUAGAAAGAUAUGGGCAAACACCAGGCUGAGGAAGGUAGGAAGGCCGGUGGGCUGCCACAGCUCUCAGAGGGAGUGGUGAGCAGGAUAAUCCUGGCAUUAACCAGAAUGUGAAAGUGUUCUAGUCUCAGCUAAUGCCACCAAUGUCAGGCUUGGUUCCUGCACUGGCAGCACUUGAGACCCCUUACAAAGACCUACAAUUUUUUUCAAGAGAAGAAGAAGAGAAAGAUACCACCAGAAAGCAAGUUUUUCCUUAUAUUCCCCCCUCAGAUAGAUAAGGAUUUUUCCUAAGACAUCACUGAAUUCAUGUCUGUUUCUGCACACCCUGGUUCUGACUGGAGGCCGGCUCCCCCAGGUAGCAAUAGGGGUCCUACAGCCUGUGAGGCAGGAAGAAAGAGAAAGGGACAACCAGCCAGCAUAACUCACCUAUGUCUUUAACAAGAGCCCUCAGAACUCUUUUAGAAGGCUUUCCUUCAUUUCUGCCCAUAUCACACAGUCACUGUAAGUUCUAACACAUCCCACAACAAGAGCUAUGGAUGCCCAGUGUCCAACAGGAGAGGCAGGCAUGGGGAGGAGAGCAGAGGAGUGGCUUCUGGACAGGUGGAUGCGCAUCAGGGUCCUCGGGAGCCACUGGGCUGCUGCGAUGAGGUCAGUGAGUAGCCAGUGAGGAAAGGAACAUUUGGAAGCCAUGGUUCCCUUAGACAGGCUUCACAGGGACACCUCACAGAGGCCUUGGUUCAUUUAUUCCUCCUACAAGACACUGGCAGCAUAUGCCAGUACAGGCCAUGUCCAUCAGCCAAAGGUCCCAAGGACAUUCCUGCCAGAGUCGGGUGAGUCAGUCAUGUGUUCUCAGUGAGGGAGAAGGAUCACGCUGGCAUCAUGAUAUUACUGAAGGUGAUGGGAGAAGACACUGUAGGAGCUGGGCUUUGGUGAGCUUGGUUGGCGGUGUCCACACAACCCUAUAAUACAUUUCCUCAUGUCAUGGUGACCCCAGCCAUAAAAUUAUUCCUUGCCACUUCAGAACUCUCAUUUUGUGGCUGUUAUGAGUCUUUUGCUUGUUUUAGUUUUUUGAGACAGGACUUCUCUGUGUAGCUUUGGAGCCUGUCCUGGAACUCGCUCUGUAGACCAAGCUGGCCUCAAAAUCACAGAGAUCUUCCGGCCUCUCCUCCCGAGUGCUACGAUUAAAGCAUGUACCACCACCGCCUGGGCAAUUAUGAAUCUUACUGUAAAUAUCUGAUACAUCCAGUGGUCUCAAGAAACCCCUAUAAAAGGGUUGUUUAACUGCCGAAUGUCUUGUCUACACUGUCUGUUGCAGGGUGUGAGAGAUGGAGUCACAUACACGUGUCUCCAUAAAUCCUAUCUCUACAGAGAGACAGCAGAGACGGGACAUCUUGAAAAUGUCACACUGUCUUGGAAGCCAAAAACAAAUCUCUUCAUCUGUUCUGAGACAACGACAGGAUGAAUCCUGUGACUAGGUAAUUAGGAAGAAUAAAGUUCUGUGUAGCUCAUGGACCAGAGGCUGGAGUCUGGGAACAUGGCACCAGCUCCACCUGGGAUUCUUCAUCACACGUAGGCUAGAGCAAGCAUGAAGGCUCAGGGCUCCCGUCCUUUUCUUCAUUCUUUGUGUUAUUCUUUAAGCGUUUUAUUAACAUAUAUAAGUUACAUAUAAUAGUGGACUUUAUUAUUACAGUUUUAUCCAUGUAUUUUAUACAUUUUGAUCAUAUUGAACACAAUUACCCACUUAGGUCCCUCUUACACCCACUGACCCCUAACUAACCACGCUUCAACUUUCCUGCAUUGAUUUUGAGACAGGGUUCUCUGUGUAACAGUCCUGGCUGCCCUAGAACUGGCAUUGCAGAUCAGGCUGGCCUCAACCUCAAUAAGAUUCACCUGUUCUACUCCACGGUAACUCCCCUCCCUGCUAGUUAUGGUGACAAAACACCUGACAUAGAAAAGCUAAAGAAAGAGAGAGGAGUUUGUCUGCCACACAGCUUGAGGCUGUAGCUUGAGCCAGUUGGUCAUAUCAAUUCUGCUGAAUUCCUUCCUUAUGCCUGUCGGCAUGAUUCUUCCACAACCUCCGUGCAGCAGCUGCGGCUUGCAGCCACAACCUAGCUGCUGAGAGCAGCAGACUGCCCCUGCUGUGUCAGAGCUGGACCCAGGAUGCCAGGACUCCUGAGGCCGUGCUGGAGGAGUUGGGCACAACAUUGGAGAGAGCACCGCCCCUGGGAACCUGUUCAAGAUGGUCACUGGGCUGGGACUUUCCAGAGGGGUUCCUCAAGUUUCACUUUCGACCAAGAAAAACUUCCCAAGCCCUCUUCCUGUCAUGCCGUUCUAGUGAAGAUUUCUGUCGUCAUCCAAUUCCAUAUGUGCUGUGUGCAUCUUCGGAGCAUCAGACACAGCUGCCUCCACGUCCCCAUGACAGCAGAGGUCCAGUGCAUGAGAAAGAGUUUGCUUAGCACUAACAUGAGCCCUUAGUAACUGUCUAAUUUAAAUCAAACGAAAUAUUGUCAAAAAUAAAUUAACCUAGAUCCAUGAUUUUGCCACGAAA